rnacentral:rRNA from 1 species
CAUCUAAGCAUGAAGCCCCCUCAAGAUGAGAUUUCCCAACUUCGGUUAUAAGAUCCCUCAAAGAUGAUGAGGUUAAUAGGUUCGAGGUGGAAGCAUGGUGACAUGUGGAGCUGACGAAUACUAAUCGAUCGAAGACUUAAUCAAAA